rnacentral:rRNA from 1 species
GUGAGGAAUAUUGGUCAAUGGGCGGGAGCCUGAACCAGCCAAGUCGCGUGAAGGAAGAAGGAUCUAUGGUUCGUAAACUUCUUUUGCAGGGGAAUAAAGUGCAGGACGUGUCCUGUUUUGUAUGUACCCUGAGAAUAAGGAUCGGCUAACUCCGUGCCAGCAGCCGCGGUAAUACGGAGGAUCCGAGCGUUAUCCGGAUUUAUUGGGUUUAAAGGGUUCGUAGGUGGUUUGAUAAGUCAGCGGUGAAAGUUUGCAGCUUAACUGUAAAAAUGCCGUUGAAACUGUCGGACUUGAGUGUAAAUGAGGUAGGCGGAAUGCGUGGUGUAGCGGUGAAAUGCAUAGAUAUCACGCAGAACUCCGAUUGCGAAGGCAGCUUACUAAGCUACAACUGACACUGAAGCACGAAAGCGUGGGGAUCAAACAGGAUUAGAAACCCCAGUAGUCC